rnacentral:rRNA from 1 species
UCCUACGGGAGGCAGCAGUGAGGAAUAUUGGUCAAUGGGCGAGAGCCUGAACCAGCCAAGUCGCGUGAAGGAUGAAGGAUCUAUGGUUUGUAAACUUCUUUUAUAUGGGAAUAAAGUGAGGAACGUGUUCCUUUUUGUAUGUACCAUAUGAAUAAGCAUCGGCUAACUCCGUGCCAGCAGCCGCGGUAAUACGGAGGAUGCGAGCGUUAUCCGGAUUUAUUGGGUUUAAAGGGUGCGUAGGCGGACUGUUAAGUCAGCGGUAAAAGCCCGGGGCUCAACCCCGGCGAGCCGUUGAAACUGGCUGU